CCUGGGCUCGUUAAACAGCAUAUAAUAUUAUAUCUUUUCGAGAGAAAUCAUGUGCGCCGAUUAUUUUAAAUGACCCAAAAAGAGAGAAAAAAAAAUCUGGCGCGCAUACCACUCGAUAUACGGUCUCCGGUGGCGGUCGCGGUUUACGACUGCCUGACUUUUUUUUAACGGUGAUAAAAAUCGGUGCGCGAUUUACGACGGGGAAAAAAGAAAGGUUAUUCGGGUGCACUUUACAGUAGUGGCCGGUAAAU